rnacentral:ribozyme from 15 species
CAUACCCAAAAAGAUAGAAAAGAAAAAAUUUGGAGAAAAGAAAUCAUGUUUUAACGAGCCCAUUGCUUCCAUCUUCUACCAAUACAUUUUUAUUC